rnacentral:rRNA from 1 species
AACGAACGCUGGCGGCGUGCUUAACACAUGCAAGUCGAACGCGAAAGGGACUUCGGUCCUGAGUAAAGUGGCGCACGGGUGAGUAACGCGUAGAUAACCUGUCUUCAUGUCUGGAAUAAUACGCCGAAAGGGGUACUAAUACCGGAUAUUCUUGCCUUUCAUAAGUUAUGCAAGCAAAGGUGGCCUCUGCAUAUGCUACUGCAUGAAGAGGGGUCUGCGUACCAUUAGCUAGUAGGUGGGGUAAUGGCCUACCUAGGCGACGAUGGUUAGCGGGUCUGAGAGGAUGAUCCGCCACACUGGCACUGGAACACGGGCCAGACUCCUACGGGAGGCAGCAGUGAGGAAUAUUGCGCAAUGGGGGAAACCCUGACGCAGCGACGCCGCGUGAGUGAAGGAAGGCCUUCGGGUCGUAAAGCUCUGUCAAGAGGAAAGAAGUGUACAAUGGCUAAUACCUGUUGUAUUUGACGGUACCUCUAAAGGAAGCACCGGCUAACUCCGUGCCAGCCGCUGC